rfam:TPA: Bos taurus chromosome 9, whole genome shotgun sequence.
UCCCUGGUGGCUCAGAUGGUAAAGCGUCUGCGUACAAUGCAGGAGACCUAGGUUCAAUCCCUGGGUCAGGGAA